rnacentral:tRNA from 1 species
CUCCCUGUAGCUCAGUGGAUAGAGUGCUUGAUUCCGGUUCAAGAGGUCGUAGGUUCAAAUCCUAUCAGGGAGG